ACUCCUACGGGAGGCAGCAGUGGGAAUAUUGCACAAUGGGAAGCCAUCGAUGCAGCCAUGCCGCGCUGUGUGAAGAAGGCCAAUUCGGGCUUGGUUAAGACACUUUCAGCAGUGAGGAAGGCGGGUACGUUAAUAGCGUGCUCGUUUGACGUUAGCUGCAGAAGAAGCACCGGCUAACUCCGUGCCAGCAGCCGCGGUAAUACGGAGGGUGCGAGCGUUAAUCGGAAUUACUGGGCGUAAAGCGCAUGCAGGUGGUUUGUUAAGUCAGAUGUGAAAGCCCGGGCUCAAGCCU
rnacentral:rRNA from 1 species